CCCAGUGGGGAAGGGGAAAGCUAUUGAUUAAAACAAAAACUAUUUUGAGUUUUUGUUAUUAUGAGUUGAGCUCCUUAAUGAAGUUUUUCUAUUAUGGCUAUAUUGGCUGCACCCUAAAUGGGGUGUCCUGGGUGAACCAAAUGCUGGUGUAGGGAAAGGAAUGGGAAUGUUGAGGGGAUGGGAAGAGGCAUCAAGAACAGGAAUAUAAUUUUCCUACAGUGCUGUUCUGCUGAGACUACAGAGUACCUCAGGGAGUCAUGCAUCCUCUUCCUGUUGCUUUACUGAAUCUUAAAGAGUGAUACAGUACUAAUGAUGCCAUUCUAGCAACUGGAGCAGCUUCAGGGGAGAGAGCACAUUAAGGGUGCUGGGAUGGUAAUGGUUGGGAGGAAGCUGAAUGGUAGUAAGAGAGACAUUCUGUCCUGAGAACUCUGAUCCAGGAUCUGAAUGAUGCAGUGUCGCAAUCCCAUUUUAUAAAUGAGGCAACCAAAACUCGAACAGGACCAUAUUGCGACUGAAACAAGGCAUAACAGGUCUUUGACUGGCUAUCCUGUGGAUGUGGACUCAGGCUAGCCUGCGCAAAGUGAAAGACAGGCAAUUAGAUUGAAAAAUACCUGUGAUUCAAAGAAGUCACAAGUCACAGAGACAAACUUUUCCCAGUGUGUUCGAGUCAGAGAACCUUUGCAAAGACCAACAGGCUAAAAGAGAAAAUACAAUGUCAUGACACAGCUAGAAUAUGUUUCCAAGCCUCCCCAACACGUGUGACUGUGUAUAAUUGAGUUCUAACCACAGGAAGGUGAGCAGAAGUGAGGUGUAACCAUUUCCAGAUCUGGCUCAUAAGGGUCUCCCACGUUCUCACUGUCCUCUAUGCUCUUUCUCUGUGCACAGCUUGAUGCAGAUGAGCAGGUAACCAUGGAAGUCGUGAGCUGAGGCUGCAGAGUCUAGAGCCAGAGUGUGGAAUAAACUUGGGUCUCAAAUCACCCCUGGAGCAAAGCACCCAUCUAAUCAGGAACUUCUACUUUCAACUUUACAUGCGUGAGAAAUGAACUUCUAUCAUGUUAGAGAAAUCCUUACACGGCGCCCUUGAGAGCUUUCAUACUGCAAGUCAUCCAUUUUCCUCCCCUCAAACCUGGCAUCGGAGUUUAUUGAAACAAAGCAAAAUAAAACAAAUAGACAAAGCUCUACCUCCAUCACUUCUGCAGUCUACAUUAACCCCACGUCCAGAAUAUUCACACCUCAGGUCUUUUUCUCACAAUUGAAACACUGGUUCAGAGCCUAACGGAAGGUCUUGGAGGUAAAAACACAACUUGGGGCAACUUUUCCAUUCUGUUCUGCAUGACCCCAAUGGGACUUCUCAGAAACCCCUCUCAUGAAUUAAACUUUGUUCUGUCUAGAGCAUUAGAAUAAGCUUAUGGGCACCUGCCAGGAGAUUAUAAAGUGGGCCAUUUAAAAGAUGACAGAUAUUGAGCACCCUUGACCCUGUAGAAAGAGUGUACCUACUUGCUUUCCCUAGGGCCCUUAAUGGUUUAUAAAAACA
rnacentral:lncRNA from 1 species